rnacentral:rRNA from 1 species
CACCGCGGUUACACGAGGGACCCAAGUCGACAGCCAACGGCGUAAAGAGUGGUUAAGGCGUACUUAAACUAAAGCCGAAGGCCCUCAGAACUGUUAUACGUUUAUGAAGGUAUGAAGCUCACCUACGAAAGUGGCUUUACAACCCCUGAACCCACGAAAGCUAUGGCA